rnacentral:rRNA from 1 species
ACGUGUAGCAGUGAAAUGCGUAGAGAUGUGGAGGAAUACCGAUGGCGAAGGCAGCCUCCUGGGAUAACACUGACGUUCAUGCCCGAAAGCGUGGGUAGCAAACAGGAUUAGAUACCCUGGUAGUCCACGCCCUAAACGAUGUCGAUUAGCUGUUGGGCAGCAUGACUGCUUGGUAGCGAAGCUAACGCGUGAAAUCGACCGCCUGGGGAGUACGGUCGCAAGAUUAAAACUCAAAGGAAUUGACGGGGACCCGCACAAGCGGUGGAUGAUGUGGAUUAAUUCGAUGCAACGCGAAGAACCUUACCUGGUCUUGACAUGUACGGAACCCUCCAGAGACGGAGGGGUGCCUUCGGGAGCCGUAACACAGGUGCUGCAUGGCUGUCGUCAGCUCGUGUCGUGAGAUGUUGGGUUAAGUCCCGCAACGAGCGCAACCCUUGUCAUUAGUUGCCAUCAUUAAGUUGGGCACUCUAAUGAGACUGCCGGUGACAAGCCGGAGGAAGGUGGGGAUGACGUCAAGUCCUCAUGGCCCUUAUGACCAGGGCUUCACACGUCAUACAAUGGUCGGUACAGAGGGUAGCCAAGCCGCGAGGUGGAGCCAAUCUCACAAAACCGAUCGUAGUCCGGAUUGCACUCUGCAACUCGAGUGCAUGAAGUCGGAAUCGCUAGUAAUCGCAGGUCAGCAUACUGCGGUGAAUACGUUCCCGGGUCUUGUACACACCGCCCGUCACACCAUGGGAGUGGGGGAUACCAGAAGUAGGUAGGGUAACCGCAAGGAGCC